rnacentral:rRNA from 1 species
GUGGGGAAUAUUGGACAAUGGGCGAAAGCCUGAUCCAGCCAUGCCGCGUGAGUGAUGAAGGCCUUAGGGUUGUAAAGCUCUUUCAGUAGGGAAGAUAAUGACGGUACCUACAGAAGAAGCCCCGGCUAACUUCGUGCCAGCAGCCGCGGUAAUACGAAGGGGGCUAGCGUUGUUCGGAUUUACUGGGCGUAAAGCGCACGUAGGCGGAUUGGUCAGUUAGAGGUGAAAUCCUGGAGCUCAACUCCAGAACUGCCUUUAAUACUGCCAGUCUAGAGUCCAGAAGAGGUGAGUGGAACUCCUAGUGUAGAGGUGGAAUUCGUAGAUAUUAGGAAGAACACCAGUGGCGAAGGCGGCUCACUGGUCUGGUACUGACGCUGAGGUGCGAAAGCGUGGGGAGCAAACAGGAUUAGAAACCCUAGUAGUC